rnacentral:rRNA from 1 species
UACGGAGGGUGCGAGCGUUGUCCGGAAUCAUUGGGCGUAAAGGGCGCGUAGGUGGCCCGGUCAGUUCGUGGUGAAAGCGCGGGGCUCAACCCUGCGUCGGCCAUGAAUACUGCCGCGGCUGGAGCACUGUAGAGGCAGGCGGGAAUUCCGGGUGUAGCGGUGGAAUGCGUAGAGAUCCGGAAGAACACCGGGUGGCGAAGGCGGCCUGCUGGG